UACCAGCUCUUCGAGUGGUGUGGAUGUUUAUUGGGCCUAAAGCAUCCGUAGCUGGCUGGGCAAGUCCCCUGUUAAAUCCGCUGAUUUAAUCGUUGGAGUGCGGGGGAUACUGUUCGGCUAGGGGACGGGAGAGGCAGACGGUAUUUUCGGGGUAGGGGUGAAAUCCUAUAAUCCCGGGAAGACCACCAGUGGCGAAGGCUGUCUGCUAGAACGCGCCCGACGGUGAGGGAUGAAAGCUGGGGGAGCGAACCGGAUUAGAUACCCGGGUAGUCCCAGCUGUAUACGAUGCAGGCUAGGUGUUUGGGCGGCCACGUGCCGCUCUAGUGCCGCAGGGAAGCCGUUAAGCCUGCCCGCCUGGGGAUACGGCCGCAAGGCUGAAACUUAAAGGAAUUGGGCGGGGAGCACCACAAGGGGUGAAGCUUGCGGUUU
rnacentral:rRNA from 1 species